rnacentral:lncRNA from 1 species
UAAGCAUCUCUUUGGUAUGCAGGCACAGAUGAAGCUCUUGAAGAUGGUUGGUGCCCCAGGUAGGAAGUUGACCCAAGUGAGUUCCUUGACUCUUGAGAAAUGAGCUCAGUUAUAAGAAAGGAGAGUGUUCUGAGACUUGAAACAGAGGAAGGAGAAGAAACACCUGUCUAAAGAACAACGUAGAGCUCAUCACACAGAAGUGAGCCAGCUAUCUCUGCCAGGCAGAGUAGAGUUCUAGCAUCUGCGUCAUCAGGCCAAAUGAUGUAUGAUCCAGUUUGAUUUAAUUUACUUAUCAUUCACAUUGGAGAGAAUUCAAAAUAUGAAACAGAACAGAUCCUGAGUAAAGAAAGGAAGAUGCAGAGUGCCCUGCACUGAAUUUGUCACCAGCCAGCAGAGGGAGUGUCUGAAGCUUCAGUGCAGACAGAAAGAAUAAUGUGGAGGAGAAAUAUUGAAUUGACAGAAUAUUUACCUAGAUGGAAUGGAAUUAAAACUAGAAGAAACUAAAUUUACUUUGGAU